AUUGAACGCUGGCGGCAGGCCUAACACAUGCAAGUCUAGCGGUAGCACAGAGAGCUUGCUCUCGGGUGACGAGCGGCGGACGGGUGAGUAAUGUCUGGGAAACUGCCUGAUGGAGGGGGAUAACUACUGGAAACGGUAGCUAAUACCGCAUACCGUCGCAAGACAAACGAGGGGGACCUCAGGGCCUCUUGCCAUCAGAUGUGCCGAGAUGGGAUUAGCUAGUAGGGGGGGUAAUGGCUCACCUAGGCUACGAUCCCUAGCUGGUCUGAGAGGAUGACCAGCCAGACUGGAACUGAGACACGGUCCAGACUCCUACGGGAGGCAGCAGUGGGGAAUAUUGCACAAUGGGCGCAAGCCUGAUGCAGCCAUGCCGCGUGUGUGAAGAAGGCCUUCGGGUUGUAAAGCACUUUCAGCGAGGAGGAAGGCGGUGAGGUUAAUAACCACAUCGAUUGACGUUACUCGCAGAAGAAGCACCGGCUAACUCCGUGCCAGCAGCCGCCUAA
rnacentral:rRNA from 1 species